rnacentral:rRNA from 1 species
AACGAACGCUGGCGGCGCGCCUAAUACAUGCAAGUCGAGCGAGAAGGUGUAGCAAUACACUUGUAAAGCGGCGAACGGGUGAGGAAUGCAUGGGUAACCUACCCUCGAGUGGGGAAUAACUAGCCGAAAGGUUAGCUAAUACCGCAUACGUUUCCGGAACUUCGGUUUCGGAAAGAAAGCAAUACCGUGGGUAUUGCGCUCCUGGAUGGGCUCAUGUCCUAUCAGCUUGUUGGUGAGGUAACGGCUCACCAAGGCUUCGACGGGUAGCUGGUCUGAGAGGACGAUCAGCCACACUGGCACUGCGACACGGGCCAGACUCCUACGGGAGGCAGCAGUAAGGAAUAUUGCGCAAUGGACGAAAGUCUGACGCAGCGACGCCGCGUGGGGGAUGAAGGUCUUCGGAUU